rnacentral:rRNA from 1 species
CGAACGGGUGAGUAAUGCGUGACCAACCUGCCCCAUGCUCCAGAAUAGCUCUUGGAAACGGGUGGUAAUGCUGGAUGCUCCAACUUGACGCAUGUCUUGUUGGGAAAGUGUUUAGUGGCAUGGGAUGGGGUCGCGUCCUACCAGCUUGUAGGCGGGGUAAUGGCCCACCUAGGCUUCGACGGGUAGCCGGCCUGAGAGGGCGGACGGCCACAUUGGGACUGAGAUACGGCCCAGACUCCUACGGGAGGCAGCAGAA